UACGGAGGGUGCAAGCGUUAAUCGGAAUUAUUGGGCGUAAAGGGUGAGUAGGUGGUUUGUUAAGUGAGCUGAAAAAGUCCUGGGCUUAACCUGGGGAGUUCGGCUGAUACUGAUGGACUAGAGUAUAGUAGAGGGCAGUGGAAUUUCCGGUGUAGCGGUGAAAUGCGUAGAUAUCGGAAGGAACACCGGUGGCGAAGGCGACUGCCUGGACUGAUACUGACACUGAGUCACGAAGGCGUGGGGAGCAAACAGG
rnacentral:rRNA from 1 species